CAGCCGCCGCGGUAAUACGGAGGGUGCAAGCGUUAAUCGGAAUUACUGGGCGUAAAGCGCACGCAGGCGGUUUGUUAAGUCAGAUGUGAAAUCCCCGAGCCUAACUUGGGAACUGCAUUUGAAACUGGCAAGCUAGAGUCUUGUAGAGGGGGGUAGAAUUCCAGGUGUAGCGGUGAAAUGCGUAGAGAUCUGGAGGAAUACCGGUGGCGAAGGCGGCCCCCUGGACAAAGACUGACGCUCAGGUGCGAAAGCGUGGGGAGCAAACAGGAUUAGAUACCCCAGUAGUCCCUGUCUCUUAUAC
rnacentral:rRNA from 1 species